rnacentral:rRNA from 1 species
AUGAACGCUAGCUACAGGCUUAACACAUGCAAGUCGAGGGGCAGCAUGGUCUUAGCUUGCUAAGGCCGAUGGCGACCGGCGCACGGGUGAGUAACGCGUAUCCAACCUGCCUUACACUCUUGGACAGCCUUCUGAAAGGGAGAUUAAUACAAGAUGUUAUCAUGAGUAAGCAUUUUCGCAUGAUUAAAGGUUUACCGGUGUAAGAUGGGGAUGCGUUCCAUUAGAUAGUAGGCGGGGUAACGGCCCACCUAGUCUUCGAUGGAUAGGGGUUCUGAGAGGAAGGUCCCCCACAUUGGAACUGAGACACGGUCCAAACUCCUACGGGAGGCAGCAGUGAGGAAUAUUGGUCAAUGGACGAGAGUCUGAACCAGCCAAGUAGCGUGAAGGAUGAAGGUUCUAUGGAUUGUAAACUUCUUUUAUACGGGAAUAAACGGAUCCACGUGUGGAUUUUUGCAUGUACCGUAUGAAUAAGGAUCGGCUAACUCCGUGCCAGCAGCCGCGGUAAUACGGAGGAUCCGAGCGUUAUCCGGAUUUAUUGGGUUUAAAGGGAGCGUAGAUGGGUUGUUAAGUCAGUUGUGAAAGUUUGCGGCUCAACCGUAAAAUUGCAAUUGAUACUGGCAGUCUUGAGUACAGUUGAGGUAGGCGGAAUUCGUGGUGUAGCGGUGAAAUGCUUAGAUAUCACGAAGAACUCCGAUUGCGAAGGCAGCUUACUAACCUGUAACUGACAUUGAUGCUCGAAAGUGUGGGUAUCAAACAGGAUUAGAUACCCUGGUAGUCCACACGGUAAACGAUGAAUACUCGCUGUAGGCGAUAUACAGUCUGCGGCCAAGCGAAAGCAUUAAGUAUUCCACCUGGGGAGUACGCCGGCAACGGUGAAACUCAAAGGAAUUGACGGGGGCCCGCACAAGCGGAGGAACAUGUGGUUUAAUUCGAUGAUGCGCGAGGAACCUUACCCGGGCUUAAAUUGCAACCGAAUAUGGCGGAAACGCUAUAGCUAGCAAUAGCGGUUGUGAAGGUGCUGCAUGGUUGUCGUCAGCUCGUGCCGUGAGGUGUCGGCUUAAGUGCCAUAACGAGCGCAACCCUUGCCGAUAGUUACUAACAGGUCAUGCUGAGGACUCUGUCGGGACUGCCAUCGUAAGAUGUGAGGAAGGUGGGGAUGACGUCAAAUCAGCACGGCCCUUACGUCCGGGGCUACACACGUGUUACAAUGGGGGGUACAGAGGGCUGCUACCACGCAAGUGGAUGCCAAUCCCAAAAACCUCUCUCAGUUCGGAUUGAAGUCUGCAACCCGACUUCAUGAAGCUGGAUUCGCUAGUAAUCGCGCAUCAGCCACGGCGCGGUGAAUACGUUCCCGGGCCUUGUACACACCGCCCGUCAAGCCAUGGGAGCCGGGGGUGCCUGAAGUGCGUAACCGCAAGGAGCGCCCUAGGGUAAAACUGGUGACUGGGGCU